CUUGGAUUAUCCAGGUAAUCAAACCUCUGGUUACAAUUUGGAGGAACCUGGUCAUAGCAGAUUUGGUUUUGCAUAUGAUGAGCUCCAAGAUGAUUACAAGGUAAGCUUGUGAACGGGAAACUUCACUGGAUUGAAACGGGCCAGAACAUCAUUUCUAUUGAUUUGUGUAAUGAGAAAUGGGCAGAGAUAGAAAAGCCCUGCAAUUUUAAUUUUAAUGAUUAUGGUCAUUUUGUACUAGGAGUGCUUGGAAGUGAUCUUUCUGUGUUUUGUAAUUACACGUGGGGUGCUGAUAUCUGGGUUAUGGAGUAUGGAGUAAAAGAAUCUUGGACAAAGAUGUUUACUAUCAAGUCUCCUAAUGACUUGAUGCCACGUAUAUCUGGUUCACCCAUUCUUUUGUCAAAUGGUGACAUUUUGCUCGAAAUUCGAUCACGUUUGGGGAAAUAUAAUCCAGAGGAUGACUCAAAUCAAAUAUAUAGAUGUUACUAACUUUGCUCCAUAUGUUGAGGCAGAAGUCUACGUUAAGAGCCUAGUUUGUCUGUUUUUACAGAAGUGACCAGGCCUACAAUAACAACAGAGGUUCAAAUAACUCAGAUGAAGACAACCGUGUGACUAAUAACCUGAUACUUGAGUUGGUUUGUCUGAAGGAACCUGACUCUUUGUGGAGAGGCUCAACAACAAGUUCAGGAGCGCAAGUUCAACCGUUAUUACUAUGAGUAUGACUAUAAAGUUAUUCAACUGGAGCCAGAAAAGAGAACUUAGAAGACGGAUUGAGUAUGAAUCGCAGAUUAAUGAAGUGUUUUAUCGCUGUCUGGUGCACAAAACAGAGAUAACUUGGGAGAAAACAGAGAAACUUUGCUGAUUUUAUGUGCAGACAGACACUUGGUUUUCUCCUCCUAUGUUUCAUUGUCUCAAAUUUUGUUAAAGUAAUGGACGACACUUGUUUUU